ACCCGUCUAGCUCAGUCGGUAGAGCGCUGGCCUUUUAAGCCAGUGGUCGUGGGUUUGAUCCCCACGGGGGGUG
rfam:Phytophthora infestans T30-4 supercont1.24 genomic scaffold, whole genome shotgun sequence.